rnacentral:rRNA from 1 species
UACGAGGGGUCCUAGCGUUGUUCGGAAUCAUUGGGCGUAAAGAGCUCGUAGGUGGCUUAGUAAGUCAGGUGUGAAAGCCCAGGGCUCAACCCUGGAAGUGCACUUGAAACUGCAUAGCUUGAGUACGGUAGAGGUAAGCGGAAUUCCUGGUGUAGUGGUGAAAUUCGUAGAUAUCAGGAGGAACACCGGUGGCGAAGGCGGCUUUCUGGACGACAACUGACGCUGAGACGCGAAAGCGUGGGGAGCAAACAGG